rnacentral:lncRNA from 1 species
ACUGAAAGCAAUCCAGCAUCUUGGGCAACUGGAAAAAGAACUUUAUGGGAACUCCGGGCUGACCACACGAAGGAAUAAUAACCAUUUUCCCACUUCCUCUCUCCUGACUAGAUUCUUUUGUUGGAGGAGUGAUUGGCCUCAUUUUUGCCUAUAUUUGCUACAGACAGCAUUACCCUCCUCUGGCCAACACAGCAUGCCACAAACCGUAUGUCAGCCUCCGAGUGCCCACCUCACUGAAGAAGGAGGAGAGGCCUACAGCCGACAGUGCACCCAGCUUGCCCCUGGAGGGGAUCACCGAGGGCCCCGUAUGACGGGUGUCUAAGGAAGAGUGGACGCUGAGCCCCUGGCUCAUUCUUCUACCCUGAUGUCAUAACACAGUAGAACGGAUUUCCUGUCAUGUGAUCCUCUCAUCAGUUACUCCGAAGUCCCCUCAGCUUCCGUUUUGUGGAUGGCGUUCUUGCCACUCUCUAUGUCUCCUUUCAACACUUUGACUUUGUAAAGUUGGGACACCAGGACCAGUCUCUGAGAGACCCAUGCAUAAGGAAGGAGGAUCCAAGGGCGGAGUGGGCAUGCUUGCUCAUGCCGUGAUUCCUUUACCUGAGGUGUUUGCUGUAGCACCCACCCUCCUGUGUUCAUGUUGUGAAACAUAAUAAAGUCCCACCUAGAAGG